rnacentral:lncRNA from 1 species
CCCCAUUCUCUCUAUGCAUGUGUGACUCAUGCUCAAUUCAAAGAGGGUCCACAGGAACUGACUGCUGAGAGCCGUGGGACAGACAACACCCUACUCAGUUUUUGCACAUUCAAGCAAAAUGCUAUGUCCUUCCUGGAUGGACCAAGUCCCAUUUUUGCAGAACAUUGGACAGCCUUCCAACUGCACAAGAGAAGCAAGAGCAAAAGGCCAAAAACAUCAGGAAAAUGAAUGUGACAGUUGAGAGAUGUCUCACAAGGACAGGCACUGUAUCAGGAGCAUCUGAGGAGUUGUUACUAUCUGAAACUUCUAACAUAAAUGACCAUCUUGGCUUAACUCCACCAUGCUCUCUGAAAUUCAUUUCCCAUCAUCUGUCUUUUCACCCAAGCCGAAGUGUCUGAGAGACUGAGACUUCAGAA